GACGAACGCUGGCGGCGUGCUUAACACAUGCAAGUCGAACGGAAAGGCCCUGCUUUUGUGGGGUGCUCGAGUGGCGAACGGGUGAGUAACACGUGAGUAACCUGCCCUUGACUUUGGGAUAACUUCAGGAAACUGGGGCUAAUACCGGAUAGGAGCUCCUGCUGCAUGGUGGGGGUUGGAAAGUUUCGGCGGUUGGGGAUGGACUCGCGGCUUAUCAGCUUGUUGGUGGGGUAGUGGCUUACCAAGGCUUUGACGGGUAGCCGGCCUGAGAGGGUGACCGGCCACAUUGGGACUGAGAUACGGCCCAGACUCCUACGGGAGGCAGCAGUGGGGAAUAUUGCACAAUGGGCGGAAGCCUGAUGCAGCAACGCCGCGUGCGGGAUGACGGCCUUCGGGUUGUAGACCGCUUUCGCCUGUGACGAAGCGUGAGUGACGGUAAUGGGUAAAGAAGCGCGGGCUAACUACGUG
rnacentral:rRNA from 1 species